rnacentral:tRNA from 1 species
GUCAGGAUGGCCGAGUGGUCUAAGGCGCCAGACUCAAGGUUGCUGCCUUCCCUGCUUUGGGUGUUCUGGUCUCCGUAUGGAGGCGUGGGUUCAAAUCCCACUUCUGACA